CACCUCACAGCAAAAAGUUCCUGGGUUUGAUUCCCAGGUGGAGUGGUCCGAGUCCUUUCUGCGUGAGAAAACACCAUUGGACAUUCCUUAACCACUCAGCAUCCUGCAGAUCCUUCACCAUCUGCAUGUCGCAGCAGUCCCAUCACAGGUAUAUAAGGACUUCAAUGAAAGCUGAGAACUGAGAGUUUCUUCUUCACCAACUCAACUGUCUCCUGUUAGCUGACACAUGGAUAAGUUAAGGUCAUCCUGCAUCUCAAGUGACUGCUGGAUCUUCUUCCCUUCAUAUCAGUCUGUUAUGACUCUUUCUUUUUAUUUCCAUUAAAUGUUGAAAAUGUAA